rnacentral:lncRNA from 1 species
UUCUACCCCCAACCUCUUUUCUUUUCCUUUCUUUUCUUUUCUUUCCUUUUCUCUUUCUUUCUUUCUUCCUUUCUUUCUUUCUUUCUUUCUAUCUUUCUAUCUAUCUUUCUUUCUUUCUUUCUUUCUUUCUUUCUUUCUUUCUUUCUUUCUUUCUUUCUUUCUUUCAAGAUUCCAGAGCUGUUCCACUUCUCUUGUGGUGGUGACAGGAAACCUAGGGAAAGCAUUUCUCUUCCAUGUUUGCUCAGUCAUGCAUGCUCAUGCCAGAUUUGCAGGGCAAACCUGUUGGGAAUAGUGCUCCAACCUGUUUUCUGAGAUGCAGGAGAGAGCAGGUGCUGGGGACAGCAGGAGCACAGCGGAAUGCUCUCUCAGAGGGCCACAGGAUGGGAGCCAUUCUCUGUGGAAUCAAGUGAGGAUGGCCAAAUAGUGAAUCUCAUUCACUUAGAAGGAAGAAC